UUUUGGAACGGAUGGGAAUUCUGCCUUUUCUCAUGAAAUUGUGAAAUGUGGUGGCUGAUGAAAAGCACCCAGUUGCAGGGAAUCAGAUUCUACAACAGAUGCUUUUUUUUGGCCCUUGAAACCUUGUUGAGGGAACCGUGUUGGGAGUACCCUCUGCUCUGAAGUUCCUGGGGCUUUUUGGGAGAUACAAACUUUUGGAGCCUGAAGUAGAAGGUGUUCUCUUCGCCUGCUGCAGCCUCUGCUGAUCUGAAGCCACACAGCUCAGCACGACUCCUCCUACCUGCUUGGCUUUCUGGAGAUAAUGAUAUCUCCGUUGAGAUAAGACUUCAUCUGCCAGAAUCAGUAUGAGUCUACAGAGGACAGCAAACAUGAUGUUUCUCAAAGGAACAGGAAGGAAGACCUAGGAAAUCUACCCUUCAAGGUAAAAUGCACCAACAAUGGGGCCUCUCCACUAAAGAAAGAGGUAAUCACUUUCUCUGCACCAACAAAAACGUGAGUAAAAAACACACAACUGAGAUAUCAGAAGAGCCGUGUUCAAAUCCCAGUUCCUCCAUUCUCUGACAGCUGACUUAGGUAAGUUGUAUACUGCUUUUAACUUUGAUAUCUUUACUCGUGAAAUGAAAUAUGAUUCUUGAACUGUCACAUUUUCAAGUAGAGUUGCAAUGAAUAUAUGAAAAAAGCAUACAUGAUUUUUUUAAAACAUCACAUCAUGUUGUACAAAUGUAAGUUACAGUUAUUAUUCAGUAAAUAAUUGUGGUAACAAAACAAUAAUUAGAACAGUAAUGGCAUAUUCAAACUCAAUGCUCUCCUUGAAAAACAGUCCAUUUAUAAUGUAGAGGUGAGCCCCACUGUUUUAUGAAAACACUCAUUUCUUCCCCUCCCCCAGAAGAUAGAGGUUUAAGUAUUCUGAAUUUUGUGGUGAAAUAUAAAGUUUAUAUGAAUUCAUGGUUCGAAUUAAUUUAAUUGUCUUAACCUAAAAUUUACGCAUCAAUAAAAAUUAUGGGCUUCAACAAGUUUCACUGAAUAUGUGUGGGAGUAAAUGAAUAUUAAGAAUACAAUGAAUUUGUUGUAGAUAUUAAAAUAGUAUUUGUUUCUUUGCUGUAAAAGAUAACCAGCCUCCUAAAUAAAUACCAAGCAAAGAAAAAUUUUACCUUCAAUAAAAUAUGCUGACAUAAAAUGAAUAGAAAUGUAUAUAAAUUUUGAUUUUCCAAAUUUCACAUGCACACAAUUCCAUGUGUCAGAGAGAAAAUUAUCAGCCAUGAGCAUAAUAUAUAUAAAUAAAGCAAUUCCCAUUUGUCUGAUUGCAAGCAGAGGAUUUAUUUGAAAAGAAGAAUUAUCCCUUCACCUUUAUAAGCAAUUUGGUUUCUGUAUGUGCUUAUUGAUGGGUGCUAUUUUCACAAUUCAGCACUAAUUAUUAAUUUGUAUUUUCAGGGGCUUGUGCAUAUAAUUCUCAUUAUUCCCAGGGGAUUCUUAUAAAUAACACUUUAGAGCAGAGGCUGGAAAUAUGUCUAGCUUUCAAUUCUGGUUGCAUUUUACACCUCGUGCUGUAACACUAUUGAGAAGUCCUAAGUGGUAGCUGGCAUUAUACCUCCACUCUCGAGGUACCUAUAUUUCAGGGUGAAGAGAGGGGUUGUCUCUUAGAGGGGUACAACAUGAGAAGUUGGCCCCUGGGUACUUUUUCAUUUUAGUGGCAUGUCGUUAGCAUCCUGAAUAUUUCAAUGUGAGCCUAAGAAAGUUCAUAAGGGGAUAUAAUAAUAAUAAUAAUAAUAAUGUCAGAUUUAUUUAGAGUCUUAGCCAGAAAAACUCUUAAACUGCUUCCAAAGCAGGAUCAGAUUUGAUACUUACCUCCUUUUCACUUUUUGUUUAUUUUUGAAAAAGGAAUA